UGUGUCUGAGAACGAUCAUCUACAGCACAAGAUGAUGUCUCAACAUGAGAAUCAUCUAAGCCGUUAAUCACGCUCUGAUCGCACGGUCUUCAUUCAUCAUCCAGACGUAUGUUCCUGUCUCCUUAGAAAUCAAGGACACAGUAGUACGAUCCUAUAGAACAGAUCCUGUUCAAGUAAGGUCGUGACAAUUGUUCCACGUGUGUGUUAUAUAAACACUUGAGCUGUGCUAAUUUUAAAUGAUGUGGGACUUAUUUCAUGUUUGUUUGUUUGUUUGUUUGUUUACACUGCUUUUCUGAAUGCCUUUUCUCAAGUUUUUCAAACCUUCUUAGAGCUAAAAAAAUGAUGAAACGAUUGUUAGCAUCGCCACUUAUUGUACAAUCCAAUACAUAAUUCAAUCUCAAGAGCGUAACAGAGAGUAUUUGCAAUCACAUUGUGAUCCUUGAAGAUGCAUAAAUUUAUGGUCAAGAACAGCUGAUGCGGCCACAAUUACGGUCGCUGAGGCAUCAAAAACCUAACAUUGCCGUCGUGGACUAUCUUUUUGAAAUCUUGGUUAUAAAACAUAAGAAAGCUUAUGUUUAUUGAAUAGCAUAACUGGUUUCUAUGUUGAUAUUUGCAGACAGGGAAGCCUCUUAUGGUGUUAAGUACUGAUCUCAACUCAAGAGCAGAUUUCUUCUGGAGGAUCAUAAUAAAGAUUCAGACUAGCAUAGGAAAUGGAGGCUCUCACUAAAUGACGAGCCACUAUGUUAGUUCGCUUGCCUCCUAGCAAACGUAUAGUUUGGGUGAUGGGAUAAAAUUUGCUUGCCAAGGGAACUAACUACCCGAAAUUCUGAUACAUCAAUCUUACUGCUAUGGAUGGCAUUCAUUACAAUUUUGCAAUCUAGCUCAAACACUACAUGGUCAGCCUCCCAGUCCUGCAACCACUGCAAAGAAUGUAGCAGUCUCAUACCCUCUCCCUUGUGAACUUCCAACUCUAAAGAUUCUGUUAGAGUUGUGUAUCACCGAAGCACAGCCAACUUUCAGUUGCUGCUGGGAAAAGGCACCGUCUAUAUUGCAUUUUAAGUAACCCGAAUCUGGUCUUUGUCAUUGGGACUCUACUGUACUGUUCAUGCCGUCAGCUUAAUGCUGAUGUGCAUUCCUCAAGUUUGCCCAGCUGCAUUCUUGUAAUACUGCUAUUGCUCGAUAGAUGAUAUGCGAAGUAUCCUCUUGAGUGUUAAUCUAGCAACAUUCAUUCUUUGAUUUCCACAACCUCCAUAAGCACAUAGAGAAAAUUUGUUGAU